AGCUACGGCCAAGUCGAAAUGAACGCUCCCGAGCUUGGACUCUAAACAGCUCUUCACCCUGGCUAGUACUUGGAUAUAAGACCCCCUGCAAAUCCUGGGUGCUGUAGGUC
rnacentral:rRNA from 1 species